GUAGCUUUACACACGGCCUUCAGGCAACAUUUCCUAAACUGCCACUGAGAAGUUUACCUUCCCUGCGGUAUUUUUUUGCAACAAGUCUGAUUAAAUAUGACGCUGGUCUAAAUUGGAUUUCAGCGCCAGCUGUGCUCCUGCUGCAGUAUUCAGGUCCCAAAAACGCAACGCUAUUUUGAUCCGUAACGCUGAGUGGAAUUUCAUGAAGAAACACUUCCCUCUGCUGGGUGGAUGCCAGUGGAACUUUGCAAGACAGGUAGAACUUUGAUUGGCUUGUUGUUUACAUUUUAUAGAGGAUUGUACAAAAUCUAUUUUAUAUAGGACAUUCCUCAGUAAAUAUUUGCAUGUCUCUUUCCAUAAGAUGACAAAAAUCUAUACUGACACCUUGGCACCUGUAAUGAGCCUUUUUACUGAAAAAAGGCAGGGGUUGAAUGUUAUAUUAAACUCGGUGUCUGGAAAUUAUUUUCUUUUCCACAAGAUGGCGACAGAUUACUGUUUAGGCGCCGACAAUGGCACACAGCGAUUAAUCAUUUGUACUUAAUAAUGUAAACCCCUGCGUAUUACUUAAAAUUAUAAUGCCACACCAUGUUUGGUUUAAACAAUGAUCCCCGCC